CUAUUUAUUGGAACUACUUUUCAUGCAUGUGGGAGAGGAACUCCUUCUGGAGGGAUUUUAGCCCCUGCAGACCAUUUACAUGCACACUAAUCUAAAUACCACACUACAGGUAAGGAAAAACCCCAAAGCACAAUAGGGCUUCUUUAAAUAUAUAUUCAAAGUAAUAGAGAUUGAGUGUAUGGCAGCGCUGUUCGAUUGAAUAACUACAGAUUUGACACUUUUAGCAUUUAGAUACUCCACAAUCCAACCAUGUACCCCCGGUUGGGAAGUCAAAGUAGAAGCAUCUAAAUCUAUAUAUUUGUAAUGAAGGACACUUUCAGUGAUCAAUCAUAAGUCUAACAAUUCAUCCUCUUCCUCCAAGAAGCCACAAUCCUGGAGAGUCAUGGGAUAGACGUCCAGAGUCCGGGGGGGCACUCCAACAGCGACGACGUUGACGGAAACGACUUAUCAGAGCAGGCAUUUGACCUGCCCUAUUUUGACAAGAGACCUCUCAGCCGACCUUUUGGCCUUUACCGCCUGGAGCCCACCUCGCCAACACAGGAGGACGGCGCGGCGCACAUCGAGCACCAGGACCCCAUCUCUCUGGCUGUGGAGAUGGCUGCUGUCAACCACACCAUCCUGGCCCUGUCCAGAACCGGGGGGGUCCCAAACGACAUCAAGACUGAGUCCCUGGAGGACGAAUGAACUGCACAGGAAACGGAACGGAGGAAGUGGAAGAGAAAUGAUAGUCAAAGAAAGGAGGAGAAAAAACAGGGAGA